AAAAAUACACCUUCCGCUCACUAAUAUAAGCAAAAAUCUAAUUUUUUAGAUACAUUCAGUUAAUGAUGUAUGUGGUCUUUAUUAUAUGUUAUAUACAUCAUUAAUUGAAUAUAUUUAAAAAAUAUAUUUUUGCUUAUAUUAGUGACCGGAGGAUCUACUACAAU
rnacentral:pre_miRNA from 1 species